UACAUUUUAGUGUAAGGUGCACGAAAAUUUUUGAUAUUUUAAGUUAUAGUUUAAUUCUAUUGAAUGUAA
rnacentral:tRNA from 1 species